UGUUUGUAUGAAAGGAGAGAAGGUUAACACUCCCCCUGACUUGGAUGGAAGAGGUUUCAGCCUGCGAGAACGCUUAUGGUUAAGGCACUUCCAACAACUUCAUGGCAUCUUUUUUUUUUUUUU